UUUUUGUUGGCAGAUUAGUGUGUUAAAUUUAGGAUUUAAAAAUGUAUUUUAUACAC
rnacentral:tRNA from 1 species